rnacentral:misc_RNA from 1 species
UUCUUUUUGGUCAUCAUAAUUUUUCUUCUUGUUGAUGGAGUAUUACUAUUGCAGUGUUAGAUGGAGGAUUAUACACAAAAAAAUCCUUCUAUUUUUUACACUCUCAUUCUUCUUUUUUGUAGCCUACAAAACCCUCAAUUCUACAAGUCUCUUUGAGAUCAAUUUUGGAUUGGCUGCUAAAGCUGAUUUUUCCAUCCAGAGAUUCAAGAAGGCGACGACAAAUACAAGGAGGAGUUUAGGUGGCUUAGGAUCAUCGCCGCCGCGGUGCAUCUUGAAAUGCGG